AUUGAACGCUGGCGGCAGGCCUAACACAUGCAAGUCGAACGGCAGCGGGGGGUAGCUUGCUAUCCUGCCGGCGAGUGGCGGACGGGUGAGUAAUGCAUGGGGAGCUGCCCAGUCGAGGGGGAUAACAACUGGAAACGGUUGCUAAUACCGCAUACGCCCUAAGGGGGAAAGGUGGGGAACUUCGGUCCUACCGCGAUUGGAUGCGCCCAUGUGGGAUUAGCUAGUUGGUGAGGUAACGGCUCACCAAGGCGACGAUCUCUAGCUGGUCUGAGAGGAUGACCCGCCACACUGGAACUGAGACACGGUCCAGACUCCUGCGGGAGGCAGCAGUGGGGAAUAUUGCACAAUGGGGGAAACCCUGAUGCAGCCAUGCCGCGUGUGUGAAGAAGGCCUUCGGGUUGUAAAGCACUUUCAGUCAGGAGGAAGGGGUGAUGGCUAAUAUCCAUCAUCAUUGACGUUACUGACAGAAGAAGCACCGGCUAACUCCGUGCCAGCAGCCGCAGUAA
rnacentral:rRNA from 1 species